GCCCGGUUAGCUCAAUCGGUAGAGCGUGAGACUCUUAAUCUCAAGGUUGCGGGUAAGUUUCUAUUCGUUCA